UGGCUGCUUUAAAAUAUUUGAAAAGUUCAACAUCUGUGUUAUUUUAACACUGGCAUUCUUUGAUUAUCUUUUACCUGGUGCUUUGGCAUUUUCCUAGUUAUUUGCCAGGUAAUUUCAGGUUACCCAGCAAAGAACGAGGUAAUUCUAGUUACCUAGUAAUUUAUUACCCCAAAUUACUAGGCUAUGCUAGACAUUUUGAAUCUGAUCUUAUUUCAUUUCUAUGGAGACUGUUAAAUAGUUUUGUUUUAAGCAGGCAGUCAACCUGCUUAGAUUCAGGCCACUGGUUCCAACCCUCCUCUGUAGGCUGUGGUUUCAAUGUCAGUUCCAUUUUCAAAGUCUUUAUAGUAUGAUUUAUCUUUCCUGGAUGUGUGCCACCCAGUGGUCAGUCUUGGACCUUGGCUAUGGUCUGUCUGUUCAGUUUUCAGUCACCAUUAUGCUGAAUAGGAUAAGGUCCACACUUAUGCAGCUCUUGGUAAGUUUCUGGAUAAGUGAUCUAUAAGAUACAUUCCCUCAAGAUCUGGAAGAUAGAAGAGAGCACCAGCAGUUUUGUGAUCUCCACACACCUUCUCCUAAUUACUGAAUCAAACACUAAUUUAGCUGCUGCUGUGAAGAGAUUUUGCGAGUAUAAUUAAGGUUCCUAAUCAGUCAAGAAGAUUAUCCUGAGUGGGCCUCAUUUAAUCAGUUGAAAGUACUUAAAAUAUAAUGUUGACCUCUCCUGGAAAAAGAGUUAAACCUGUGGACAAUAGCUUCAGCCAGUGUCUGUGAGGCUUCAGCCUUCUUGUGAUCUUCUCUGCCCUGUGGACUCCGGAUUUGCCUAUCCAGCCUCCGAAACUGUGCAUACCAAUAAAAAGUGGCCCACAAGUUGAUAAGCUCCUUGCUGGAUACUGAUGCCCAAAGACAUUACUGUUAUAAAAGAAGAAGCUCAAACAAAGAGAACUGAGGCUGAAUAGCAGUUAUCACCAACAGGUAAAGGAAGACUUUCAAGACACAGAACCAAAAAGGCUUGUUGGAACCUGGUGACUGGGUGUUCUCGAAAUGUCUUCAAAGAAAGACUGCUCUUGAAUCCCACUGGAAAGGACCAUACCAAGUGCUCCUGACUACAGGCAUAGCAGCUAAACUCAAAGGUGUUGACCCCUGGAUUCACAUCUCCCUCAUAAAAGACCACCUCCUGAUGCCACCUGCUUCUCUUCUUAAGCCACAGACCUUAAAAAAUCAGGUUAACCAGGAUAAGAAGCUGAUGACUUCACACUGUGGAUGGCUUUUCCCAAGACAUCAGAAAAAGAUCCUCCAUCAUAAUAAGAUUCUUAUCCCUCUUAAUUUUUCCUUUCUUAUGCCUUUUCCGCUAGGCAGGAUAAUACUGUCAUAACCAGUUGCUUCUGUAGGUAACUUCACAGAGUGUUGGAUCUGUCCUGCCAAACCCAAAUCUUUACAUAACUUAAAAGAUCUUUUAAUCUACUCAGUGGCUAACUUAAAAACACCCCGAACACAACUGCUUGUUUAAAUUGUGCUACUGGUCCCUCUUAUAGAGUCAGAUUUCUAGACCCACUUGUUCUCUCUCCCUGUUUUAAUUUAAUCCAGUCAUGGGAUACAAGAACCAAGUCCAAAUGAGUGUAUCAUAAGACAGGAUUGUACCAAAAGCCUGAAUAGAGUUUAUUUCAAACUGACUUAGUGCAAACAUAUUAGUUUUUUAACCUUGGCUAGAAACUGCUAAAUCCACCAUUCCAAGCAAUAUAUCCACAAACAACAGAACUGGGAAGCAGUCCUUAUGUGCACCCACAGGGUGUAUCAUUAUUUGUGGAUAACUCUGUGGCCAACCUUAUACACAGGCAACCUCAUGCCUUGACAGGUAGAGGAUGAAGGGUCAAUGUGGGCUAAAAAUCUAAAUGGUAAGUUGUCACUCCAUAAUCCAGAAGUGGAAUACUGGCUCACUCCUUACCUAUGUCAUAGAUUAAAGAGAACACUGCCAAGAGGCAUUAACCCUUUUGGAUCGGCUUUGUUAGGUCCCUUUUCCUAUGGCUUAGAGUAAUACAAAUGAAGUAAUGAUUAGAAUUUAUCCCGCGAAAUAGCCUCUAUAGAAGAUUCUACUGCAAUGCUAUAGCUGCACAAGACUUCUUUGAAUUCUCUUGUUAAAGUUAUACUAGGUAUUAACAGAAUUGCUCUAGAUUUCUACUGGUCAAAGAGCGAGGAGUCUUUGCAGUUGGUAACACUUAUUGUUGCACAUGGAUAAAUUCCGGUAUUAUAGAGACUCAGUUGCAAAAAAAAUUAAACAGGCUACUUGGUUAAAAUAAGUGGAUUCUUUGUCUUUCUCGUUCUUUGAUCUGUCCAAUUUCAGUGGGUUUGGUUCAUGGGAACUUUGAUUAAGAAUCACAUUCCAAACUCUUGGUAUUAUCUUUCUGAUAGUCAUAAUGGUAGUCUCCCUAGUGUGCUGCAUUCUCUCAAAAGUUUUAAAUGACUGCAUGCAGCAAUCUGCUGAAUGUCAAUGAUCUCUCUCCAGCUGAUAUGAUAAAAACUCAAAGAAACCUAUGAUAAUGAGGACACCUAACCUAUUAAUGACAUGUUGAGACUGGAAACCCAGAAUGAUAGUAACUGAGAGUAGCGUUAAUGCCCUAAGUUUUGGUCACACUCUCACUUAGGUGAAAGCUUACUGAAAGGACAGAAUUGUUAAAUAAUAUUUACAACAGGACGUUGUUUUAGACGGAGCUCCUCCACUAGGCCCGAAGAGAUCAAACCAAAAGGGAGUCACUCAUGCUCAGUGCCACAUAAUCAGUCUGAAACUGUAAGGAACUAGUUCAAAGACCAAACUAGUUUUUCCUGAAAACAGGAGAUUUGCUGCAACAGGAAAGGGCUUAGUAAACCUAAGCUGGCAUAAGUAGCCCCUUCUGCUUUAACACUUAAAAGUAACCUUAAGUAAUCUGAUGUUAACCAACAGACUUUUAAAAAUACUCUGUUUCCUUGUUUCCACCUUACAAAAACCAACUAUUCUGCCAUGCCUAGGGCAUGGCAUUCUAUUUUAUGGAAUGAGAUGCUACCCAAUUUCAGAAUUGCUAAUAAAAGCC
rnacentral:lncRNA from 10 species